CACACCCUCAAGGGCCUCAGACAGGAGGUAAAUGAGCUGAAACUGCAAGUCACAGAGUUCUGCAGAGAACUGACAGAUCGGAUGAG